rnacentral:rRNA from 1 species
CCUACGGGUGGCAGCAGUGGGGAAUAUUGGACAAUGGGGGGAACCCUGAUCCAGCCAUGCCGCGUGUGUGAAGAAGGCCCUCGGGUUGUAAAGCACUUUCAGUGAGGAAGAACGCCUGGUGGUUAAUACCCAUCAGGAAAGACAUCACUCACAGAAGAAGCACCGGCUAACUCCGUGCCAGCAGCCGCGGUAAUACGGAGGGUGCGAGCGUUAAUCGGAAUUACUGGGCGUAAAGCGCGCGUAGGUGGCUUGAUAAGCCGGUUGUGAAAGCCCCGGGAUCAACCUGGGAACGGCAUCCGGAACUGUCAAGCUAGAGUGCAGGAGAGGAAGGUAGAAUUCCCGGUGUAGCGGUGAAAUGCGUAGAGAUCGGGAGGAAUACCAGUGGCGAAGGCGGCCUUCUGGACUGACACUGACACUGAGGUGCGAAAGCGUGGGUAGCAAACAGGAUUAGAUACCCCGGUAGUC